rnacentral:rRNA from 1 species
UACGUAGGGGGCGAGCGUUGUCCGGAUUUAUUGGGCGUAAAGAGCGUGUAGGCGGCCAGGUAGGUCUGCUGUGAAAACUCGAGGCUCAACCUCGAGACGUCGGCGGAAACCAUCUGGCUAGAGUCCGGAAGAGGAGAGUGGAAUUCCUGGUGUAGCGGUGAAAUGCGCAGAUAUCAGGAAGAACACCCGUGGCGAAGGCGGCGACCUGGGUCGAGACUGACGCUGAGGCGCGAAAGCGUGGGGAGCAAACAGG